GAACGCGAAGAACCUUACCAACCCUUGACAUCCCUGGACCGGCCCGGAGACGGGUCCUUCACUUCGGUGACCAGGUGACAGGUGCUGCAUGGCUGUCGUCAGCUCGUGUCGUGAGAUGUUCGGUUAAGUCCGGCAACGAGCGCAACCCACGUCCCCAGUUGCCAGCAUUCAGUUGGGCACUCUGUGGAAACUGCCGGUGAUAAGCCGGAGGAAGGUGUGGAUGACGUCAAGUCCUCAUGGCCCUUACGGGUUGGGCUACACACGUGCUACAAUGGUGGUGACAGUGGGUUAAUCCCCAAAAGCCAUCUCAGUUCGGAUUGUCCUCUGCAACUCGAGGGCAUGAAGUUGGAAUCGCUAGUAAUCGCGGAACAGCAUGCCGCGGUGAAUACGUUCCCGGGUCUUGUACACACC
rnacentral:rRNA from 1 species